AUUGAACGCUGGCGGCAGGCCUAACACAUGCAAGUCGAGCGGUAACAGGAAAGCGCUUGCGCUUUUGCUGACGAGCGGCGGACGGGUGAGUAAUGUCUGGGGAUCUGCCCGAGGGCGGGGGAUAACCACUGGAAACGGUGGCUAAUACCGCAUAAUGUCGCGAGACCAAAGUGGGGGACCUGAAAGGGCCUCACGCCAUCGGAUGAACCCAGAUGGGAUUAGCUGGUAGGUAGGGUAAUGGCCUACCUAGGCGACGAUCCCUAGCUGGUCUGAGAGGAUGACCAGCCACACUGGGACUGAGACACGGCCCAGACUCCUACGGGAGGCAGCAGUGGGGAAUAUUGCACAAUGGGCGCAAGCCUGAUGCAGCCAUGCCGCGUGUAUGAAGAAGGCCUUCGGGUUGUAAAGUACUUUCAGCGGGGAGGAAGGGUGUAGCCUGAAC
rnacentral:rRNA from 1 species